GACGAACGCUGGCGGCGUGCUUAACACAUGCAAGUCGAGCGGUAAGGCCCUUUCGGGGGUACACGAGCGGCGAACGGGUGAGUAACACGUGGGUGACCUGCCUUUAGCUCUGGGAUAAGCCUGGGAAACUGGGUCUAAUACCGGAUAUGACUCCAUGAUGCAUGUUGUGGGGUGGAAAGCCUUGUGCGGCUGGAGAUGGGCCCGCGGCCUAUCAGCUUGUUGGUGGGGUGANGGCCUACCAAGGCGACGACGGGUAGCCGGCCUGAGAGGGCGACCGGCCACACUGGGACUGAGACACGGCCCAGACUCCUACGGGAGGCAGGCAGUGGGGAAUCUUGCGCAAUGGGCGAAAGCCUGACGCAGCGACGCCGCGUGA
rnacentral:rRNA from 1 species